AUCUGACUGUGUGAAGGAGUCUUCAGUGAGAGGAUGUGUCUUUGGUUCACACUCCUCUUCCUGGGGUCUGGAGGUGGUGUGUUCAGAGCUCCUGAAUCGUCCAAUCAUUUCCGUGUCUGUGAGUGACGGGGCGUCCGAGCUCCAGCCUCAGGGGGUGCGGGUGCAGCUGGGCUCAAAGUUCAGGGUCAAAUGCUUCCGUGGAGCCACAGUACCCGGGAGGCUCCUUCCGGCUCCUCUCUCCCGCCGCGCCCCCCGCUCAGAAUCGCACCCUGUUCGCUGUCAAUCACUCCGCCCACUUCCUGUUCUCUGACGCUGACCACACCCACAAAGGAAACUACACCUGUGUUUACCUCCUGCAGGUGUUCAACCACAGCUUCUCCUCUCAGAGCCACACACUCCAGCUCUCUGUGGGAGAGUCAGACUCAGACCUGAUCAUCAGAGUUGUGGUGAUUCUUCUGUUGAAGCUCCUGUACAUCCUCCCAAUGUCCUACUGCUACUGCAAGGUCAGAACCAGGGCGGCGCUAGAGAGAGGCCCGAGCAGUGAGUGAGACCAGUUCAGAUCUGAGUUGGUCCUGUUUCAGAUACAAGUGACAAAUCAGCCA